GGGGAAUUUGCUAAACUUUGACCACUUCCAGAUACUGCAGGCCAUCAGGAAAGGGAGCUUUGGAAAGCCACCCUUCACUGACACCAUGAGAUGAGGCUUUGGUGAACAGUGGAUGGAUCAACUGAAGGACCAGGUGCAUCUUUCAGGUCCUGUGUCAGGUGUUUGCUGAAUUUUUUUUUGACAUGACUUUCAGGUACUGUUCCUCCACUGUAGAUAGAUUUUUCCGCCUGUCCCCUUUUUUUCUGUCCCCUACUUUUCCAAUCUAAAAAAAUUGGAGGAAAUUGUGUGUUUUUGUGACAGGUUGCUAGUA